AGCGAACGCUGGCGGCAGGCCUAACACAUGCAAGUCGAACGAACCUUUCGGGGUUAGUGGCGGACGGGUGAGUAACACGUGGGAACGUGCCUUUAGGUUCGGAAUAACUCAGGGAAACUUGUGCUAAUACCGAAUGUGCUCUUCGGGGGAAAGAUUAAUCGCCUUUAGAGCGGCCCGCGUCCGAUUAGCUAGUUGGUUGAGGUAAUGGCUCACCAAGGCGACGAUCAGUAGCUGGUCUGAGAGGAUGAUCAGCCACAUUGGGACUGAGACACGGCCCAAACUCCUGCGGGAGGCAGCAGUGGGUGAUCUUGCGCAAUGGGCGAAAGCCUGACGCAGCCAUGCCGCGUGAAUGAUGAAGGUCUUAGGAUUGUAAAAUUCUUUCACCGGGGACGAUAAUGACGGUACCCGGAGAAGAAGCCCCGGCUAACUUCGUG
rnacentral:rRNA from 1 species